AUGGCCCCUCUGCUCUGCUUUCUCUUCCUGCUAGCAACUCUAACAGGUGUCCGGUCCCAAAUCCAGUUGGUUCAGUCUGGGGCAGAAAUGAAAAAGCCUGGAGAGUCUGUGAAGCUCACCUGCAAAGCGUCCGGUUACACGUUUACUGACUACUCCAUGCGCUGGGUCCGGCAGGCUCCGGGGAAAGGCCUGGAGUGGGUAGCAACGAUUAGGACGGACAAUUUCAACACUUUCUACCCUGAGGCACUGAAAGGGCGAACCACCGUCAGCGUGGACACCUCCAUCAGCACAACGUAUCUCCAGAUGAACAGCCUGAAAUCUGAAGACACCGCUGUGUAUUACUGUGCAAGAGACACAUGGCUGCAGGUCAAGAAGGAUGUUGAUAAAUUGGAGACGGUUCAGAGAAGCGCCACCAGAACGAUUAAAGCAUUAGACAAACCUGCCUUACA